CGCCGAUCACACCUACUGACUUGGGCCUAUUGAACACGUCCGGGGACAUAUCGGAACCUUCUGACAGACAUACAGCUACGCCUCUGUUUGAUGACCACGGACAGAUGCCUUCAGUGUGUAAUGGAGGAGAUCCUAUGCCGGUGUCACCCGUAUGUACAGUUAAACCAAUGCAGGUGCUUCUCGAGCCAGCUUCGGACGUUCCAGCGACUUCCCCUGCAAACACCCAUCAUCGGCGUCGGCGAGGAACACUACCUCAGAUUGUCUUAGCACGACGUCGACAUGAGGGCAUCAAUCACCUGCUGCAUCUGGUGGUGAGCAUCCUCUUCUGUCCUUGGCUCAUCUUCUGGGUGGUCUUGU